rnacentral:snoRNA from 1 species
GGAUGUGACGAUACCAAUAUAGGAAGUGCCGUCCGAUGCGAAACUGACGAAGAUUCCUAAACGGUUAGCUUGCUAGCUAGUCAUCUGAUC